CAUAGGUUAAUGAGGCGAACCGGGGGAACUGAAACAUCUAAGUACCCCGAGGAAAAGAAAUCAACCGAGAUUCCCCCAGUAGCGGCGAGCGAACGGGGAGCAGCCCAGAGCCUGAAUCAGUGUGUGUGUUAGUGGAAGCGUCUGGAAAGGCGCGCGAUACAGGGUGACAGCCCCGUACACAAAAAUGCACAUACUGUGAGCUCGAUGAGUAGGGCGGGACACGUGGUAUCCUGUCUGAAUAUGGGGGGACCAUCCUCCAAGGCUAAAUACUCCUGACUGACCGAUAGUGAACCAGUACCGUGAGGGAAAGGCGAAAAGAACCCCGGCGAGGGGAGUGAAAAAGAACCUGAAACCGUGUACGUACAAGCAGUGGGAGCACGCUUAGGCGUGUGACUGCGUACCUUUUGUAUAAUGGGUCAGCGACUUAUAUUCUGUAGCAAGGUUAACCGAAUAGGGGAGCCGAAGGGAAACCGAGUCUUAACUGGGCGUUAAGUUGCAGGGUAUAGACCCGAAACCCGGUGAUCUAGCCAUGGGCAGGUUGAAGGUUGGGUAACACUAACUGGAGGACCGAACCGACUAAUGUUGAAAAAUUAGCGGAUGACUUGUGGCUGGGGGUGAAAGGCCAAUCAAACCGGGAGAUAGCUGGUUCUCCCCGAAAGCUAUUUAGGUAGCGCCUCGUGAAUUCAUCUCCGGGGGUAGAGCACUGUUUCGGCAAGGGGGUCAUCCCGACUUACCAACCCGAUGCAAACUGCGAAUACCGGAGAAUGUUAUCACGGGAGACACACGGCGGGUGCUAACGUCCGUCGUGAAGAGGGAAACAACCCAGACCGCCAGCUAAGGUCCCAAAGUCAUGGUUAAGUGGGAAACGAUGUGGGAAGGCCCAGACAGCCAGGAUGUUGGCUUAGAAGCAGCCAUCAUUUAAAGAAAGCGUAAUAGCUCACUGGUCGAGUCGGCCUGCGCGGAAGAUGUAACGGGGCUAAACCAUGCACCGAAGCUGCGGCAGCGACGCUGAUGCGUUGUUGGGUAGGGGAGCGUUCUGUAAGCCUGCGAAGGUGUGCUGUGAGGCAUGCUGGAGGUAUCAGAAGUGCGAAUGCUGACAUAAGUAACGAUAAAGCGGGUGAAAAGCCCGCUCGCCGGAAGACCAAGGGUUCCUGUCCAACGUUAAUCGGGGCAGGGUGAGUCGACCCCUAAGGCGAGGCCGAAAGGCGUAGUCGAUGGGAAACAGGUUAAUAUUCCUGUACUUGGUGUUACUGCGAAGGGGGGACGGAGAAGGCUAUGUUGGCCGGGCGACGGUUGUCCCGGUUUAAGCGUGUAGGCUGGUUUUCCAGGCAAAUCCGGAAAAUCAAGGCUGAGGCGUGAUGACGAGGCACUACGGUGCUGAAGCAACAAAUGCCCUGCUUCCAGGAAAAGCCUCUAAGCAUCAGGUAACAUCAAAUCGUACCCCAAACCGACACAGGUGGUCAGGUAGAGAAUACCAAGGCGCUUGAGAGAACUCGGGUGAAGGAACUAGGCAAAAUGGUGCCGUAACUUCGGGAGAAGGCACGCUGAUAUGUAGGUGAAGCGACUUGCUCGUGGAGCUGAAAUCAGUCGAAGAUACCAGCUGGCUGCAACUGUUUAUUAAAAACACAGCACUGUGCAAACACGAAAGUGGACGUAUACGGUGUGACGCCUGCCCGGUGCCGGAAGGUUAAUUGAUGGGGUCAGCGCAAGCGAAGCUCUUGAUCGAAGCCCCGGUAAACGGCGGCCGUAACUAUAACGGUCCUAAGGUAGCGAAAUUCCUUGUCGGGUAAGUUCCGACCUGCACGAAUGGCGUAAUGAUGGCCAGGCUGUCUCCACCCGAGACUCAGUGAAAUUGAACUCGCUGUGAAGAUGCAGUGUACCCGCGGCAAGACGGAAAGACCCCGUGAACCUUUACUAUAGCUUGACACUGAACAUUGAGCCUUGAUGUGUAGGAUAGGUGGGAGGCUUUGAAGUGUGGACGCCAGUCUGCAUGGAGCCGACCUUGAAAUACCACCCUUUAAUGUUUGAUGUUCUAACGUUGACCCGUGAUCCGGGUUGCGGACAGUGUCUGGUGGGUAGUUUGACUGGGGCGGUCUCCUCCUAAAGAGUAACGGAGGAGCACGAAGGUUGGCUAAUCCUGGUCGGACAUCAGGAGGUUAGUGCAAUGGCAUAAGCCAGCUUGACUGCGAGCGUGACGGCGCGAGCAGGUGCGAAAGCAGGUCAUAGUGAUCCGGUGGUUCUGAAUGGAAGGGCCAUCGCUCAACGGAUAAAAGGUACUCCGGGGAUAACAGGCUGAUACCGCCCAAGAGUUCAUAUCGACGGCGGUGUUUGGCACCUCGAUGUCGGCUCAUCACAUCCUGGGGCUGAAGUAGGUCCCAAGGGUAUGGCUGUUCGCCAUUUAAAGUGGUACGCGAGCUGGGUUUAGAACGUCGUGAGACAGUUCGGUCCCUAUCUGCCGUGGGCGCUGGAGAACUGAGGGGGGCUGCUCCUAGUACGAGAGGACCGGAGUGGACGCAUCACUGGUGUUCGGGUUGUCAUGCCAAUGGCACUGCCCGGUAGCUAAAUGCGGAAGAGAUAAGUGCUGAAAGCAUCUAAGCACGAAACUUGCCCCGAGAUGAGUUCUCCCUGACUCCUUGAGAGUCCUGAAGGAACGUUGAAGACGACGACGUUGAUAGGCCGGGUGUGUAAGCGCAGCGAUGCGUUGAGCUAACCGGUACUAAUGAACCGUGAGG
rnacentral:rRNA from 1 species